AUGAGCCUUGACAAAACUGUGGACAGCAUACUGCUAAGCCUCACAUUGUUCAGCCUUCUGAUUUUCCUUGGAAGUUUGCUGAUAUGUGCGUGUAGAAGGUAUAGAUUCCUGGAAGUUAUAACCAUGCCCUUUCCAGCUCCUACAGAUAAAGUUACAACGUGGUUAGCUACAGAUGAGACUCACCAUCAGAAACAAAAUUCAGUGCAAAUGGAGAUGCAGUCAGAGGUCAUACUGAGAAUAUCAGAAGAUAAUGGAGAUGAGGACAUUCAACAACAUACACAUUUGAAAGAAUCUGAAGACCUGCACAGGGACAAUUUGACUUUGCUGAUCACCUGUUACUGCCACUACUAGAGCCAAAGUAGGCCACUGGACUACAUCAGCCUUUGGACUGAUUCGUUAC
rnacentral:lncRNA from 1 species